UAUCAAUAAGCGGAGGAAAAGAAACCAACAGGGAUUGCCUCAGUAACGGCGAGUGAAGCGGCAAAAGCUCAGAUUUGAAAUCUGGCGUCAUAUUGGCGUCCGAGUUGUAAUCUGUAGAGGAGUAUUCGAGUGUGGCGCUGGCUUAAGUUCCUUGGAACAGGACGUCAUAGAGGGUGAGAACCCCGUUAACGGCCUUUGUCUUAUGCUCAUGUGAAUCUCCUUCAACGAGUCGAGUUGUUUGGGAAUGCAGCUCUAAAUGGGUGGUAAAUUCCAUCUAAAGCUAAAUACUGGCAAGAGACCGAUAGCGCACAAGUAGAGUGAUCGAAAGAUGAAAAGAACUCUGAACAGAGAGUUAAAUAGUACGUGAAAUUGUUGAAAGGGAAGCACUUGCUACCAGACACGCCUGUAGUUGAUCAACCUUCAUUCUUGAUGGUGCACUCAGCUAUAGGUGGGUCAGCAUCAGUUACGGCGGUGGGAUAAAGACUUGGGGAAUGUGGCUUCUCUCGGGAAGUGUUAUAGCCCUUUGUGUAAUACCACCUGCUGUGACUGAGGACCGCGCUUCGGCGAGGAUGCUGGCAUAAUGGUCGUAAGUGACCCGUCUUGAAACACGGACCAAGGAGUCUAACAUCUAUGCGAGUGUUUGGGUGUCAAAACCCUUACGCGGAAUGAAAGUGAAUGUAGGUGGGAACCGCAAGGUGCACCAUCGACCGAUCCUGAUGUCUUCGGAUGGAUUUGAGUAGGAGCAUAGCUGUUGGGACCCGAAAGAUGGUGAACUAUGCCUGAAUAGGGUGAAGCCAGAGGAAACUCUGGUGGAGGCUCGCAGCGGUUCUGACGUGCAAAUCGAUCGUCAAAUUUGGGUAUAGGGGCGAAAGA
rnacentral:rRNA from 1 species